AAGUUUCAACAACGGAUCUCUUGGCUCUCGCAUCGAUGAAGAACGCAUCGAAAUGCGAUAAGUAAUGUGAAUUGCAGAAUUCAGUGAAUCAUCGAAUCUUUGAACGCACCUUGCGCUCCUUGGUAUUCCUCGGAGCAUGCCUGUUUGAGUAUCA
rnacentral:rRNA from 1 species